rnacentral:rRNA from 1 species
UACAGAGGUCCCAAGCGUUGUUCGGAUUCACUGGGCGUAAAGGGUGCGUAGGUGGUUGGGUAAGUCUGAUGUGAAAUCUCCGGGCUCAACCCGGAAAUGGCAUUGGAUACUAUUCGGCUAGAGGUUUGGAGGGGGGACUGGAAUUCUCGGUGUAGCAGUGAAAUGCGUAGAUAUCGAGAGGGACACCAGUGGCGAAGGCGAGUCCCUGGACAACACCUGACACUGAGGCACGAAAGCUAGGGGAGCAAACAGG